AUUGAACGCUGGCGGCAGGCUUAACACAUGCAAGUCGAGCGGGGUGAUGGUGCUUGCACUAUCACUUAGCGGCGGACGGGUGAGUAAUGCUUAGGAAUCUGCCUAUUAGUGGGGGACAACAUCUCGAAAGGGAUGCUAAUACCGCAUACGUCCUACGGGAGAAAGCAGGGGAUCACUUGUGACCUUGCGCUAAUAGAUGAGCCUAAGUCGGAUUAGCUAGUUGGUGGGGUAAAGGCCUACCAAGGCGACGAUCUGUAGCGGGUCUGAGAGGAUGAUCCGGCACACUGGGACUGAGACACGGCCCAGACUCCUACGGGAGGCAGCAGUGGGGAAUAUUGGACAAUGGGGGGAACCCUGAUCCAGACAUGCCGCGUGUGUGAAGAAGGCCUUAUGGUUGUAAAGCACUUUAAGCGAGGAGGAGGCUCUUUUGGUUAAUACCCAAGAUGAGUGGACGUUACUCGCAGAAUAAGCACCGGCUAACUCUGUGCCAGCCGCCGCAGUAA
rnacentral:rRNA from 1 species